CUCUCUCUCUGCUGCAGAGCCGGCAACGCAGAAACGCAGGCAACACAACGCUGUGGCGUCAGGAUCUGGAGCUGUCAAUCAGCUCAGCCCCGCCUGAGGUCGGAGAAUCUUACUACAGCACCAAAUACGGGCAAGACGCAGCCUUGUAUGGUUUGAUGUUUGGACAUUGAGUAUGAAGAUUAAUCAAAAAUGACAAAGAUUCCCUCGACUUGAAUGUGGAUCCUUGGCAUUUGGAAUGGCACCAAUGGAUCAAACAAUGAAGCGGGGUAUGGAAGAUACAGGCAGGGGACCCUCCGAUUCUUCUUUCAACAAGAGUACAAAUUGGUCAAGCCAAUUUCAAAGCAUUAAAACACCACUCACUACUUAA